rnacentral:rRNA from 1 species
UACGAAGGGGGCUAGCGUUGUUCGGAAUUACUGGGCGUAAAGCGCGCGUAGGCGGACAUUUAAGUCAGGGGUGAAAUGCCGGGGCUCAACCUUGGAACUGCCUUUGAUACUGGGGAUCUUGAGUCCGGGAGAGGUGAGUGGAACUGCGAGUGUAGAGGUGAAAUUCGUAGAUAUUCGCAAGAACACCAGUGGCGAAGGCGGCUCACUGGCCCGGUACUGACGCUGAGGUGCGAAAGCGUGGGGAGCAAACAGG